GGUUCGGUGGUGUAGUUGGUCCAUCACUUCUGUCUAACAAGCACAGUCUUGUGUGCACAGGCGGUCCUCGGUUCAAGUCCGGGUCGAAUCA